rnacentral:rRNA from 1 species
CUCAGGAUGAACGCUAGCGACAGGCUUAACACAUGCAAGUCGAGGGGCAUCACGGGAGUAGCAAUACAACUGGUGGCGACCGGCGCACGGGUGAGUAACGCGUAUGCAACCUACCUAUCGGAGGGGAAUAACCCGGCGAAAGUCGGACUAAUACCGCAUAAAACAGGGGCACCGCAUGGUGAUAUUUGUUAAAGAAAUUCGCUGAUAGAUGGGCAUGCGUUCCAUUAGGUAGUUGGUGAGGUAACGGCUCACCAAGCCGACGAUGGAUAGGGGAACUGAGAGGUUGGUCCCCCACACUGGUACUGAGACACGGACCAGACUCCUACGGGAGGCAGCAGUGAGGAAUAUUGGUCAAUGGGCGGGAGCCUGAACCAGCCAAGUCGCCGUGAAGGAAGAAGGAUCUAUGGUUCGUAAACUUCUUUUGCAGGGGAAUAAAGUGCAGGACGUGUCCUGUUUUGUAUGUACCCUGAGAAUAAGGAUCGGCUAACUCCGUGCCAGCCGCCGC